GGGAAAUCGGGUUCGAUUGAUUCAGAAUCUAAAACAGUGUGAACCCCUCUUUCUGAAUUGCAUGUUGGAUUUAGGAGGUUUUAUUAUAGAAAGAAAGAAACGGAUUCAAAUGAAUGAACAGAAGAGAAUGAGAGGUCGUGAUUGUUAACAGCGAAGUACACGGUACAAAAACCAACCUGGGCUUAGGCCUUAGGGGCCGUUUCCACCGCAUCCGAAUC
rnacentral:misc_RNA from 1 species